UUCCUGGAAGCAGCACAGACAACAGAUGUUUCCAGAUGUUCACCUUCAGAUGUAAAGAAAAUGAAUCUUCCAGAACCACCGAGUCCAGAAGCUUUAAAACGUGUGUGAAGGUUUAUUCUGUUUGUGUGUGAUUCUGUCAAACACACACAAACUAAACCUCGGCUGUUCCAGUGACGGUGCAGCUCCCCUGAUCUCACGCAGCCCCUCCGCUGCUCUGGACAGUUUAAACUCCCGCAGACUGUGAAAGGUUUGAUUCCGGUGAGACGCCACUUUCCCCUCCACACACGUGAUGUUGUUUCUGAGGAUCUCUAAACUCCAACUGGUGGAUUUGAUCCUCAACCAUCUGAAGAUCCAGUCGAUCAUCAGAUCAGCAGAUCCUGAAUCAGCUCAUUCAAACGGACUCGGCCUCCUGUGGUGUUUGAAGGUGAAACUCACCUCCUCACUUCAAACUGCUGCUUCAGCUCCUGUCCUCGUUUCUCUGACUUCAACCGAGAAGCUUUCGUUGACUGAACUUACGCAGGAUGAACCACAGAGGUGAGGAUGGGCCCCCGAGGUCAGGAGGCCCCUGGAGCCACAGCCUCUGUAUGAAGUGACUCAGUGAAGACAUCAGAACUCCAUCAUCUCAGUCCGAGGCCCUGGCUGCAGAGGCGAGGGUCCGUCUACCAGUUUGUGUCAAGGGAGCCGUUUCUCCAAAAUCCAUCCAGUCACCGAAGUGGCAGCUCGACGUCUGAUGAGUCGUUUGUGACGACGCUGACAACAGCAGCUUCCUGCGUCUCGUUCAUAUUAAAAUAUAUUAGAAUAUUAAAAGAGUAAUGGUGUCAAAAGUUAGUUGUAGAUUUACUCUUUAUUAUUCUAGUUUUAGUAUUUAUUUAACUUUACCAAUAUAUGUUAUCUAGUAAUUAUUUUAAAGAGCAUAUUUUCUCACUUUAAACGUUUCCCUGGGAUGUACAUAAUUGAAAUUAAUUAAAAUAAUGUUGACCAAU